CCGUUAUGCUUUGCCUGCCCCCGCGUGGAGCGGCGCACGCUCAAAUUUGAAAUCUGGCACCUUCGGUGUCCGAGUUGUAAUUUGAAAAAGCUACUUUGGGGCUAGUCCUUGUCUAUGUUCCUUGGAACAGGACGUCAUGGAGGGUGAGAAUCCCGUAUGGCGAGGAGUCUAGUCCUAUGUAAAGUGCUUUCGACGAGUCGAGUUGUUUGGGAAUGCAGCUCUAAGUGGGUGGUAAAUUCCAUCUAAAGCUAAAUAUUGGCGAGAGACCGAUAGCGAACAAGUACAGUGAUGGAAAGAUGAAAAGAACUUUGAAAAGAGAGUGAAAAAGUACGUGAAAUUGUUGAAAGGGAAGGGCAUUUGAUCAGACAUGGUGUUUUGCGACCCUCGCUCCUUGUGGGUGGGGAUCUCGCAGCUCACUGGGCCAACAUCAGUUUUGGCGGUAGGAUAAAUCUUUGGGAACGUGGCUUGUCUUCGGAGAAGCGUUAUAGCCCAGGGGAAUACUGCCAGCCGGGACUGAGGACUGCGACUUUUGUCAAGGAUGUUGGCAUAAUGGUUAAAUGCCGCCCGUCUUGAAACACGGACCGAUA
rnacentral:rRNA from 1 species